rnacentral:sRNA from 1 species
GCCAGGUGUGGUAGCACACACCUGUAAUCCAAGUGUCUUUGGAGGCUGAAGCAGGAGGAUCACGAGUUUAAGGCCAGCCUCGGCAACUCAGCGAGGCCCUAAGCAGCUUAGCAAGACCCUGUCUCAA